rnacentral:rRNA from 1 species
GCUUAGCCCUAAACCAAGAUAAUCCGAUAACAAUAUUAUUCGCCAGAGAACUACUAGCCAGCGCUUAAAACUCAAAGGACUUGGCGGUGCCCUAAACCCACCUAGAGGAGCCUGUUCUAUAAUCGAUAAACCCCGAUAAACCUCACCCAUUCUUGCCAAUACAGCCUAUAUACCGCCAUCGUCAGCUUACCCCAUAGGGAAAAAAAGUAAGCAGGAUCAUAAAUCAUAAAAACGUUAGGUCAAGGUGUAGCAUAUGAAUGGGAAAGAAAUGGGCUACAUUUUCUAAAUUAGAAUAUAACGAACUACCUUAUGAAACCUAAGAUACUGAAGGAGGAUUUAGUAGUAAAUUAAGAAUAGAGAGCUUAAUUGAAAUAGGCAAUAGGACGCGC